AUGUGCGUCCAAACACACAGGAGAUCGGAUGACACUCUGAGGAGUCUGGGUGCUCUUUGUGUAGGCCGUCCUGGCUUCCUCAAACCCUCUUUUUCUACCUGCAGGUUAACGCUGCAGUGGUUUGGCAGGUCUAAGUGUAUCUUACGAGGGCAUGACCCUUUCACACCACGAGCAGGACAAACAGGACUGAAGAGCUGCAAAACAACAUGGAAUGUCCCUUUUGUUUUAACGUUACCUCAUAUUUCUUUUACCCAGAAUAUAUCAUUUGUUUCAAUGCAAAGGGAUAUGUAUGAAGAUAAACGAAUAUUACAUGAGACAUAUUAUUUGACUGUAACAAAAACUGCAAGAGCUGUGACAGAUUAUUCUUUUUUUUUAGAUUGAUAUUUUACAAGUUAGUUGUAAAUGUGAUUCCUUUUAGGACCACAUGAACAUACAUUUCUGUCAACAUCUACAUGAACAUGUGAUUAUUAUCUGUACAUCGCACACAAUGUAUUUUCAGUUUCUGUGCCUGGUUCAUGUGGAACUAGUUUCUGUAAAAGAAAAUAAUAAUAAUGUGAAUGAUUAAGA